AUGUGAUCGUCUCUCGCAUAUCAAUAAGCGGAGGAAAAGAAACUAACAAGGAUUCCCCUAGUAACGGCGAGUGAAGCGGGAAGAGCUCAAAUUUGAAAUCUUAAAGGGUUUCCCUUUACGAAUUGUAGUUUAAAGAAGUGUUUUCUGUUGAGGUUUUGGUAAAAGUUCUUUGGAAUAGGACAUCAUAGAGGGUGAGAAUCCCGUAUUUGACCUUUACUUUCAACUUUGUGAUACACUUUCAAAGAGUCGGAUUGUUUGGGAAUGCAGUCCAAAAUGGGUGGUAAAUUUCAUCUAAAGCUAAAUAUUGGCGAGAGACCGAUAGCGAACAAGUACCGUGAGGGAAAGAUGAAAAGAACUUUGAAAAGAGAGUUAAACAGUACGUGAAAUUGUCAAAAGGGAAGCGUUUGACACCAGUGUUGUUUUUCUGAAAAUCAAUUAAAGAACUGUUUAUGCUAAGUUGCUUAGACUUUAUCAGCUAACUGUUUAGUUUUGAGCUUUUCUUUAACGCACUUUUCAGUUAACAAGUCAACAUCAAUUUCUUUUGCUGUAAAAAAGCUUGAGGAAGGUGGCUUGAGAUUCGUCUUAAGUGUUUAUAGCCUCUUGCCUAUGCAGUCGGAGAGAUUGAGGUCUGCAGCGUAGAUCCUUCGGGGCUAAAUGCAUUUGUGCUAAGUUAUAGCAUUUUAUAGACAACUUGUUGACUAUGAUUUGUCUUGUAGCUUACUCGCUUAUGUUAUUUUACCUACGCUUAGGAUGUUGACACACGCGCGUGCUCG
rnacentral:rRNA from 1 species